rnacentral:misc_RNA from 2 species
AACGCACCUUGCGCUCUCUGGUAUUCCGGAGAGCAUGCCUGUUUGAGUGUCAUGAACUCUUCAACCCACCGGUUCCUUGUUGAACCGAGCUGGUGUUUGGUUUUUGAGUGUUUUGCUUUGUUUUCGGACAUAGCUCGCUCGUAAUACAUUAGCAUCUCGAUUUCGAAAUUUCGGAUUGACUCAGCGUAAUAGACUAUUCGCUGAGGACACCUUUACCGGUGGCCGUAAUUAUGAUAACAGUAGACGCUUCCAAUCCUACUAGUCAAUUUUAUGAUUAGACCUCAGAUCAGGCAGGAUUACCCGCUGAACUUAA